rnacentral:tRNA from 2 species
GUGACUGUAGCUCAGCUGGUUAGAGCACCAGACUGUGGAUCUGGGUGUCGGGGGUUCGAAUCCCCUCAGUCACC